GUGAAAUGUGAAAUAUCCAUUUAUAUUUCCCAAAUAAACAAGUUUUAACAUACGCAAAAUGAGGCAAUAUUUAAUAGGACAAACACUAUUAUUUUGGCUCAGACUUCCCUUUACUAACCAGACUGGUAAUGGGAGGCUGAGGUCACGACUGACGGAAUAUUGUAGAGUUUACAAGGGAUUAACAAGAGCUUAGCCCCGUUCCUUGGAUCAAAAACCAGAAGAGAUAAUUUACCAUUUAACCACAGCUGUUAUAUAAAGAGACACAAGGUCUGAGCAAAAGGAAAUGUGAUCUCCAACUGGGUGCCAUGCAUGCUAGUUAAUGAGAAAUACAUUGGUGGUGUAUGGGUUAUAUAUAGGUAUAAUAAAUGUGUGAGUCAUGAGUAAUAAGUUUGUAUAAUGUAAGCAAUCUGUGAGUAUUACACAAGUAAUAAGUAUAGGAGGGAAGGAAGCAGCACCUUAAGGAUAUCCUCUAGCCCAAAGUCGGGGAAGGCUAA